rnacentral:rRNA from 1 species
AUUGAACGCUGGCGGCAUGCUUUACACAUGCAAGUCGAACGGCAGCGCGGGCUUAGGCCUGGCGGCGAGUGGCGAACGGGUGAGUAAUACAUCGGAACGUGCCCAGUAGUGGGGGAUAGCUCGGCGAAAGCCGGAUUAAUACCGCAUACGACCUGAGGGUGAAAGCGGGGGAUCUUCGGACCUCGCGCUAUUGGAGCGGACGAUGGCAGAUUAGCUAGUUGGUGGGGUAAAGGCCUACCAAGGCGACGAUCUGUAGCUGGUCUGAGCGGACGACCAGCCACACUGGGACUGAGACACGGCCCAGACUCCUACGGGAGGCAGCAGUGGGGAAUUUUGGACAAUGGGCGAAAGCCUGAUCCAGCAAUGCCGCGUGUGUGAUGAAGGCCUUCGGGUUGUAAAGCACUUUUGGCGGGAACGAAAAGGACUGUGCCAAUACCACGGUUCGAUGACGGUACCCGCAGAAUAAGCACCGGCUAACUACGUG